CUGCUCACUGAUGAUGAGAUUGCCACCUAUCUCUUCACCAGGUUUAACAAUGACUAUGAUCCACUAGUUGCAUCUCUAACCAUGAUGGUUAAGGCAGUUUCUCUCAAUAAGGUGUAUGCUCACUUCAUAGCAUUUGAGA